rnacentral:rRNA from 1 species
AGCGAACGCUGGCGGCAGGCUUAACACAUGCAAGUCGAGCGGGCACUUUCGGGUGUCAGCGGCGGACGGGUGAGUAACGCGUGGGAACGUGCCCUCUGGUUCGGAAUAACUCAGGGAAACUUGAGCUAAUACCGGAUACGCCCAUUUGGGGAAAGGCUUGCUGCCGGAGGAUCGGCCCGCGUCUGAUUAGCUAGUUGGUGAGGUAACGGCUCACCAAGGCGACGAUCAGUAGCUGGUCUGAGAGGAUGAUCAGCCACACUGGGACUGAGACACGGCCCAGACUCCUACGGGAGGCAGCAGUGGGGAAUAUUGGACAAUGGGCGCAAGCCUGAUCCAGCCAUGCCGCGUGAGUGAUGAAGGCCUUAGGGUUGUAAAGCUCUUUUAUCCGGGACGAUAAUGACGGUACCGGAGGAAUAAGCCCCGGCUAACUUCGUG